UCACUCAGUUGACACGCCAACUCUUUAAUU
rnacentral:sRNA from 1 species